GUAGGUGGCAAGCGUUGUCCGGAAUUAUUGGGCGUAAAGCGCGCGCAGGCGGUUCUUUAAGUCUGAUGUGAAAGCCCACGGCUCAACCGUGGAGGGUCAUUGGAAACUGGAGAACCUGAGUACAGAAGAGGAAAGCGGAAUUCCACGUGUAGCGGUGAAAUGCGUAGAGAUGUGGAGGAACACCAGUGGCGAAGGCGGCUUUCUGGUCUGUAACUGACGCUGAGGCGCGAAAGCGUGGGGAGCAAACAGGAUUAGAUACCCUGGUAGUCCGCGCCGUAAACGAUGAGUGCUAAGUGUUAGGGGGGUUUCCGCCCCCCUUAGUGCUGCAGCUAACGCAUUAAGCACUCCGCCUGGGAGUACGGCCGCAAGGCUG
rnacentral:rRNA from 1 species